rnacentral:tRNA from 1 species
UGGCUCAGUGGUAGAGCACUUGCCUUGCAUGCAUGAGGCCUUGGGUUCGAUUCUUCA